rnacentral:rRNA from 1 species
ACCUACGGGACGCAGCAGUAGGGAAUUUUCGUCAAUGGGCGCAAGCCUGAACGGGCAAUGCCGCGUGAACGAGGAAGGUCUUCGGAUCGUAAAGUUCUGUUGAAGGGGAAAAAGAGCGGAGAGAGGAAAUGCUUUCUGAUUGAUAUUACCCUUCGAGGAAGUCACGGCUAACUACGGGCCAGCAGCCGCGGUAAUACGUAGGUGGCGAGCGUUAUCCGGAAUGAUUGGGCGUAAAGGGUGCGUAGGCGGCCUGCUAAGUCUGGAGUGAAAGGUACCGGCUCAACCGGUACAGGCUCUGGAAACUG